CAGUGAUCCAACCGCAAGGAGGAAGCUGUCGAAGGUGAAACCAAUGACUAGGGUGAAGUCGUAACAAGGUAGCCGUAUCGGAAGGUGCGGCUGGAUCACCUCCUUUCUAAGGAA
rnacentral:rRNA from 1 species